UGAACUCCAUCUCAUCCAUUCCCUCACCAGUGUACCAGUGUAAGAAAGCCUUGCGCCUGAACAUUGCUGUGAACUGCUCACUCACCCUCCUGAACAUCUCCUGAAUUGAAGUCGAAUUCCCAAUGAAAGUUGAUGCCAUCUUCAGGCCCUUUGGAGGGAUGUCACACACACUGGACUUGACGUUAUUGGGUAUCCACUCAACAAAGUAUGAGGAGUUCUUGUUCUGAACGUUGAUCAUCUGUUCAUCCACCUCUUUAGUGCUCAUCUUACCACGGAACAUGGCUGAAGCAGUUAAGUAGCGACCAUGGCGUGGAUCAGCAGCACACAUCAUGUUCUUAGCAUCCCACAUCUGCUGGGUCAGUUCAGGCACAGUUAGGGCCCGGUACUGCUGGGAGCCUCUUGAUGUUAAGGGUGCAAACCCAACCAUAAAGAAAUGGAGACGUGGGAAUGGGAUAAGGUUAACUGCCAGCUUCCGAAGGUCAGAAUUUAGCUGUCCAGGGAACCGAAGAC
rnacentral:lncRNA from 1 species